rnacentral:rRNA from 1 species
AACGUAGGACGCAAGCGUUAUCCGGAGUUACUGGGCGUAAAGCGCGGGCAGGCGGUUCUGCCAGUCUGAUGUGAAAUCUCUCAGCUCAACUGGGAGCAGCCAUUGGAAACUACAGAACUGGAGUCUGACAGAGGUAGGCGGAAUUCCGGGUGGAGUGGUGAAAUGCGUAGAGAUCCGGAGGAACACCAGAGGCGAAGGCGGCCUACUGGGUCGGUACUGACGCUGAGCCGCGAAAGCCAGGGGAGCGAACGGG